rnacentral:rRNA from 1 species
UGGAUUCGCUAGUAAUCGCGCAUCAGCCAUGGCGCGGUGAAUACGUUCCCGGGCCUUGUACACACCGCCCGUCACACCAUGGAAGUCUGCAAUGCCCGAAGCCAGUGGCCUAACCACUUAUGUGGAAGGAGCCGUCUAAGGCAGGGCAGAUGACUGGGGUGAAGUCGUAACAAGGUACC